rnacentral:tRNA from 2 species
GCGGGCGUGGCGAAAUGGUAGACGCAAGGGACUUAAAAUCCCUCGGGCGCUGUCCCGUGCGGGUUCGAGUCCCGCCGCCCGCA